rnacentral:lncRNA from 1 species
CUACAGCGGACGGUCUACUCCGGAUCUCUACUGUAAGCAAAUUCCAUUCGAACCUCUACUGUAAACACAUCUCUUUCAAACUUCCAUUACAGGUAGACUUCAGCCGAGCUUCUUCGUAGCUGGAUCCCAAACGAGCUUCUACAGCAGUACAGGACCCACCGGCCAGAUCGCUACGUCGAGCUCCCACGACAACCGAUCUUCGAUCGAGCUUCUACAAUAAGUGGUCUCCUUUCAGCCUUCUGCAAGAAUCAGACCUCGAUCGAACUUCCAUAGCGGAUGGAUAUCGGAUGAGCUUCUAUGAUGGACGAACUCCGACAGCUGGAUUCUUACAACGAUCGAUCACCUCC